rnacentral:rRNA from 1 species
GACUGAGGGUGCAAACGUUGUUCGGAAUUACUGGGCGUAAAGCGCGUGUAGGCGGCUUGGCAAGUCGGGUGUGAAAGCCCUGGGCUCAACCUAGGAAGUGCACUCGAUACUGCCAAGCUAGAGUGUCGGAGAGGUUGGUGGAAUUCUCGGUGUAGAGGUGAAAUUCGUAGAUAUCGAGAGGAACACCGGUGGCGAAGGCGGCCAACUGGACGAACACUGACGCUGAGACUCGAAAGCGUGGGGAGCAAACAGG